CUACAAGUCAUAUAGUCUGAGUGAAGAAAGGUGUCAGGUGAAGGCACAGACAUUAAUUAAAGCGAAUUAUAGAAAAAAAAAACAAUUAAUGCAACUGAAAGGCUGCGAAUAAACAGGACUGUUGAAGUUAAACCAGAGUAAAACUGUCCUGAACUUAGCUAACUAAUUUUAGCCGCGCCACAGGAGAGUUAGCUAGUUUUCCACCGUUGCUAAUGAUAUUAGUUAUGGUGUUUUUAGCGGAGACUAGCUAGCUAGCAGGCAUGAAAGGUGGAGACAAGUGCCCUGGGGGAUUAUAUGACAUGGAUAUGACCACCUCGCCUCCCCUGAGAUGGAGUCUUGUUGGUGGUGGCGGCUAUGGCUGUAUGUUCUGCUGAUUUACAUCUGCUGCUAAAUCAGCAAUUGGACUGCUACAGAAGAUUGUGAUGUGUUGUGAUGCACAGGGUCUAUGUGUGAAGCUCCAAAGGAGGGAUGCACUGACCUCUACGCCUGUCUCAAGGAGAACGUGGCUUACCUGGUGAAGACAGGAAGCUGGGACUGAAUGACCUGAACCCUGAUGAUGACAAGCAGCAGGGUGCUGAUGACGAGGACAAUGAGCUUCAGCAGAGUUUGCAGCACGGCAUAGGGGAAACCGUCUUUACCCUGCAGGACUUGCCGCAGUGUGUCUAACAGCAUGGGCAAG